rnacentral:rRNA from 1 species
UACGGGGGGGGCAAGCGUUGUUCGGAAUUACUGGGCGUAAAGGGCUCGUAGGUGGCCAACUAAGUCAGACGUGAAAUCCCUCGGCUUAACCGAGGAACUGCGUCUGAUACUGGAUGGCUUGAGUUUGGGAGAGGAAUGCGGAAUUCCAGGUGUAGCGGUGAAAUGCGUAGAUAUCUGGAGGAACACCGGUGGCGAAGGCGGCAUCCUGGACCAAUUCUGACGCUGAGUGAGCGAAAGCCAGGGGAGCAAACGGG